rnacentral:rRNA from 1 species
GUCCACGCCCUAAACGAUGUCAACUAGGUGUUGGGGAAGGAGACUUCUUUAGUACCGCAGCUAACGCGUGAAGUUGACCGCCUGGGGAGUACGGUCGCAAGAUUAAAACUCAAAGGAAUUGACGGGGACCCGCACAAGCGGUGGAUUAUGUGGAUUAAUUCGAUGCAACGCGAAAACCUUACCUACCCUUGACAUGUCAGAAAGAUCGCAGAGAUGUGAUUGUGCCCGAAAGGGAAUCUGAACACAGGUGCUGCAUGGCUGUCGU